rnacentral:rRNA from 1 species
AGCAGCCGCGGUAAUUCCAGCUCCAAUAGCGUAUAUUAAAGUUGUUGCAGUUAAAAAGCUCGUAGUUGAACUUCGGGGUCUACCCAUUGGUCAGGCUUAAUUGUCUGCACUGGUGAGAUGGAUCUCUACCUUCUGAGGAACUUUCAUGCCAUUUAUUUGGUGUGGUUGGAAAUCAGGACUGUUACUUUGAAAAAAUUAGGGUGUUUAAAGCAGACUAUAGUCUGAAUACAUUAGCAUGGAAUAAUGAAAUAGGACGGACUGAUUCCAUUUCGUUGGUUUCUAGGAUCACCGUAAUGAUUAAUAGGGAUAGUUGGGGGCAUUAGUAUUCAAUUGUCAGAGGUGAAAUUCUUGGAUUUAUUGAAGACUAACUACUGCGAAAGCAUUUGCCAAGGAUGUUUUCAUUAAUCAAGAACGAAAGUUAGGGGAUCGAAGACGAUCAGAUACCGUCGUAGUCUUAACCAUAAACUAUGCCGACUAGGGAUCGGACGAAGUUAAUUUUAUAAUGACGCG